rnacentral:ncRNA from 1 species
ACCUCCGGACGGCCGGGGGUACUGAACGAAUAAAGGCGGGACGGCCCGC